rnacentral:rRNA from 1 species
AGAGUUUGAUCCUGGCUCAGGAUGAACGCUAGCGACAGGCUUAACACAUGCAAGUCGAGGGGCAGCGGGGAAGUAGCAAUACUUCCGCCGGCGACCGGCGCACGGGUGAGUAACACGUAUGGAACCUGCCCGUAGCAGGGGGAUAAGCGGAAGAAAUUCCGUCUAAUACCGCGUAAUAACUCCGAGAGGCAUCUCUUGGGGUUUAAAGGGUAACACCGGCUACGGAUGGCCAUGCGGCGCAUUAGCUAGUUGGCGGGGUAACGGCCCACCAAGGCGACGAUGCGUAGGGGUUCUGAGAGGAAGGUCCCCCACACUGGUACUGAGACACGGACCAGACUCCUACGGGAGGCAGCAGUGAGGAAUAUUGGUCAAUGGGAGAGAUCCUGAACCAGCCAAGCCGCGUGAGGGAAGACGGCCCUAUGGGUUGUAAACCUCUUUUGUCGGAGAACAAAACCCGGGACGAGUCCCGGACUGCGUGUAUCCGAAGAAAAAGCAUCGGCUAACUCCGUGCCAGCAGCCGCGGUAAUACGGAGGAUGCGAGCGUUAUCCGGAUUUAUUGGGUUUAAAGGGUGCGUAGGCGGUCCGGAAAGUCAGCGGUAAAAGCCCGGGGCUCAACCCCGGCGAGCCGUUGAAACUGUCGGACUAGAGACGGCGAGAAGUACGCGGAAUGCGCGGUGUAGCGGUGAAAUGCAUAGAUAUCGCGCAGAACUCCGAUUGCGAAGGCAGCGUACCGGCGCCGGACU